ensembl:lincRNA
AAAAAUCUGAAAUGGACUCUCAGGACGUCUAGGGGCGUGGCCUUCCCCAUCGCCAAGCUGGGUGUGCUGCUACCUUGGAAGCAAUUAGGCCCGCUCCUGAAUUUGGGCCUGUCCAACCUGGGAUCCAUGGAGCCCAGAGAGCCCAGGGAGGGCCUCCGUCGGCCGGGGGCUGAAAUGACCAUUCCUGGGGAUUCCUUCCUGGUCCUGUUGAGUUACAAACUGCUUAACUGUUUGUUACUGCAAAUAAGCAGAAGAGCCUGCCAACAGUAAAGAGCUGAAGCUUUGCUCCUGCCGGCCACCUCAAGAUGAUAAACUCUCCCGGGCUGGGGAUGUGGCUCAAGCGGUAGCGCGCUCGCCUGGCAUGCGUGCGGCCCGGGUUCGAUCCUCAACACCACAUACAAAGAUGUUGUGUCCGCCAAUAACUAAAAAAUAAAUAUUAAAAAUUCUCUCUGUCUCUCUCUCUCUCUAAAAAAAAAAAAAAGAAGAAGAAGAAGAUGAUGAUAAAUCCUCCGUGUUUUCUUUUUUUUUUUUUUUUGGCUAGGGAUUUUCUGAAAUUCUGCUAUUCCUAAAACUGAGGUUUGGCCACAAGGUGACUGGUCGAUUUUGCAUUUGGACCAGCAAAGCUUUCUCAACCUAAAUGGACUUUGUGGCUUCAUUUCUCCAAACCCCCCAUCUUCUUCAUUACUAUUCUUCUGAGAAAUUACUUCCCAUCAGCAAUACUUGCCCCCAGCUGGUGAACCAGAGGGGGUUCUUUUUUGUAGUUCACAAACACUAAAGGCCGAGGGCAGCAAAUCUACACCAGGUGCCAGCUAAUGAAAAGCCUCACAUGAAAGCUUACGCAAAGGGGACAGGCACGGGGCAAAUGUACUGGUAUCCAAGAUUGCUCACUCUUCUCCCACACACUGCAGAAUAGAUAGUAAUGAUUAUUAAUUAUUCAAGCAAUGAACACACAAGCCAGCACAGAUGGUUUAAAAAAAAAAAAAGAAAAGAAAAGGAAGUUACACUUUAAGAUCCUCUGUUGAUAUCCUCUUAAUUAGCACUAUCUAUGGAGCCAAGGGAAACAGACCGAGAUGCUUACUAAUAAAAGAAUUUUUUUUAAAUUUUCCUGUCAUUUUUUUUCUUUAACCUAAAAAAUCAUUAAAAGACAACUUAGGGGCUGGCACUGGGGCUCAGUGGUGGAAUGCUUGUCUCAGAUGUGAGACACAUGGUUCAAUCCUCAGCAGCACAUAAAAAUAAAUAAAUAAAGCUAUUAUGUCCAUCUACAACUAAAAAAUAUUUAAAAAAAGAAAGAUAACAUAGGUUAUAUUUGUAUACAUUGCUGAUGAAAUGGAAUUUUAAAAUCAAGUGUUUUCCACAGUCUUUUGUGAUAGCAUAUCAAAAAAGGGAUAAAACCUUCACAGAUGUUUUUUUUUUUUUUAAGACGAGGUGUCCGGCUGGCCCUUAACUCCUGGGUCAAAGGAACCUCUGCCUCAACUCCCUGAGUAGCUGAGAUUGUGGGUGCACACAGCUGUACCAGCAUCAUAUUUUCAAUUCAAAGCUUCAACCUCAUGUCACUCCUGGUACAUUUUAUUUGUUCUCUGUAUAUAUCAUGAUACAUAGAGGAGUUUCUUCCUUUUAGAUAACAUCUGGCACUAUUUAAAAGUUAAGAACCCUUAUUAGGUGUGGUGGCACAUACCUCUAAUCCCAGCAACCUGGGAGGCUUUUAGGCAGGAGGAUCACAAGUUUGAGGCCAGCCUUAACAACCUGGAGAGGCUCUAAGCAACUUAGCAAGGCCCUGUCUCAAAAUAAAAAGGGCUAGGGAUGUGGCUCGGUGAUUCACCCCUAGGUUCAAUCUCCAGUACUAAAUAA